rnacentral:rRNA from 1 species
AAUCAACGCUGGCGGCGUGCCUAACACAUGCAAGUCGCACGAGAGAGUGGAGCAAUCCAUGAGUACAGUGGCGCACGGGUGAGUAACACGUGAAUCAUCUACCUCCGAGUGGGGAAUAACCUAGAGAAAUCUGGGCUAAUACCGCAUGACACUUACGAGUCAAAGCAGCAAUGCGCUUGGAGAGGAGUUCGCGGCAGAUUAGUUAGUUGGCGGGGUAAUGGCCCACCAAGACGAUGAUCUGUAUCCGGCCUGAGAGGGCGCACGGACACACUGGAACUGAAACACGGUCCAGACUCCUACGGGAGGCAGCAGUGGGGAAUUUUGCGCAAUGGGGGAAACCCUGACGCAGCAACGCCGCGUGGAGGAUGAAAUCCCUUGGGAUGUAAACUCCUUUCGAUCGGGACGAUUAUGACGGUACCGGAAGAAGAAGCCCCGGCUAACUUCGUGCCAGCAGCCGCGGUAAUACGAGGGGGGCAAGCGUUGUUCGGAAUUAUUGGGCGUAAAGGGCGCGUAGGCGGUUUGACAAGUCUGAUGUGAAAUCUCUGGGCUCAACCCAGAGUCUGCAUUAGAAACUGUCGGGCUUGAGUAUGGGAGAGGUGAGUGGAAUUUCCGGUGUAGCGGUGAAAUGCGUAGAUAUCGGAAGGAACACCUGUGGCGAAAGCGGCUCACUGGACCAUAACUGACGCUGAGGCGCGAAAGCUAGGGGAGCAAACAGGAUUAGAUACCCUGGUAGUCCACGCCGUAAACGAUGAUAACUAGCUGUCCGGGCACUUAGUGCUUGGGUGGCGCAGCUAACGCAUUAAGUUAUCCGCCUGGGGAGUACGGCCGCAAGGUUA